UCAUUAGACAGGUAGCUUCCAAAGAAAUACCAUCAGCAAGACAACUGCACAAGGAAACGAUGGAUAGUCAUACAGUGAAAGGCCUGGUGCUGGCUGCAGGGCUAUUGUGUGGAGCUGCACUUGUCCUCGCUCCCGUCUACUACUACAAGAAAACCCAAGAGAAAGAGAGAAAGAAAUACGUCAUUAAGAGCUGGACAGAGUUUGCUGUGGAGAGUAUAAACGGUGGGAUACAAGGAGGACUCCGCAGCACAACAACAGUAGAGAAGAUCUAAGGAGCAAGUGCUGCCCACUGGGAUAUUACACUGAGGAACCCAGAUAGGGCAGCUUCAACAACGCAUGAAGACUGUGAUGGAGCAACCUUUACGUUAGUAUAACGGUAGAUCUAAACAGCGAUGUAGUCUCACCACCGCUUAGUACGGGACACCGGCUCUAAACAUCGCUGUGCACAUUUCAUGGUCUCCUACCGUUAUACUAAUGUAAAGGUUGCUCCAAAAGGGCUCCUCCUGAAGUUGUCCAGUCUUCCUAUAAGAACUUGAAUACUUUUCCAUCUUCUUCA